UACGGGGGGGGCAAGCGUUGUUCGGAAUUACUGGGCGUAAAGGGCGCGUAGGCGGUUCGCUAAGUUGAAUGUGAAAACUCUGGGCUCAACCCAGAGCCUGCAUCCAGAACUGGCGGGCUAGAGUUCUGGAGGGGAUAGCGGAAUUCCUGGUGUGGCGGUGAAAUGCGUAGAUAUCAGGAGGAACACCGGUGGCGAAGCCGGCUAUCUGGACAGAAACUGACGCUGAGGCGCGAAAGCUAGGGGAGCAAACAGG
rnacentral:rRNA from 1 species